GACGAACGCUGGCGGCGUGCCUAAUACAUGCAAGUCGAACGCAUUUUCUUUCACCGUAGCUUGCUACACCGAAAGAAAAUGAGUGGCGAACGGGUGAGUAACACGUGGGUAACCUGCCCAUCAGCGGGGGAUAACACUUGGAAACAGGUGCUAAUACCGCAUAAUUCCAUUUACCGCAUGGUAAAUGGAUGAAAGGCGCUUUUGCGUCACUGAUGGAUGGACCCGCGGUGCAUUAGCUAGUGGGUGGGGUAACGGCCUACCAAGGCUGCGAUGCAUAGCCGACCUGAGAGGGUGAUCGGCCACACUGGGACUGAGACACGGCCCAGACUCCUACGGGAGGCAGCAGUAGGGAAUCUUCGGCAAUGGACGCAAGUCUGACCGAGCAACGCCGCGUGAGUGAAGAAGGUUUUCGGAUCGUAAAACUCUGUUGUUAGAGAAGAACAAGGAUGAGAGUGGAAAGUUCAUCCCUUGACGGUAUCUAACCAGAAAGCCACGGCUAACUACGUG
rnacentral:rRNA from 1 species